rnacentral:tRNA from 1 species
GCGCCAGUAGCUCAGCUGGAUAGAGCAUCGGCCUUCUAAGCCGAGGGCCCCAGGUUCGAGUCCUGGCUGGCGUACCA